CCUACGGGCGGCAGCAGUGGGGAAUAUUGGACAAUGGGCGAAAGCCUGAUCCAGCCAUGCCGCGUGUGUGAAGAAGGCCUUCGGGUUGUAAAGCACUUUCAGUGGGGAAGAAAGCCUUGGGGCUAAUACCCUCGAGGAAGGACAUCACCCACAGAAGAAGCACCGGCUAACUCCGUGCCAGCAGCCGCGGUAAUACGGAGGGUGCGAGCGUUAAUCGGAAUUACUGGGCGUAAAGCGCGCGUAGGCGGUCUGAUAAGCCGGUUGUGAAAGCCCCGGGCUCAACCUGGGAACGGCAUCCGGAACUGUCAGGCUAGAGUGCAGGAGAGGAAGGUAGAAUUCCCGGUGUAGCGGUGAAAUGCGUAGAGAUCGGGAGGAAUAACAGUGGCGAAGGCGGCCUUCUGGACUGACACUGACGCUGAGGUGCGAAAGCGUGGGUAGCAAACAGGAUUAGAUACCCUGGUAGUC
rnacentral:rRNA from 1 species